rnacentral:rRNA from 1 species
GAUGAACGCUGGCGGCGUGCCUAAUACAUGCAAGUCGAGCGAACAGACGAGGAUCUUGCUCCUCUGACGUUAGCGGCGGACGGGUGAGUAACACGUGGAUAACCUACCUAUAAGACUGGGAUAACUUCGGGAAACCGGAUCUAAUACCGGAUAAUAUAUUGAACCGCAUGGUUCAAUAGUGAAAGACGGUUUUGCUGUCACUUAUAGAUGGAUCCGCGCCGGAUUAGCUAGUUGGUAAGGUAACGGCUUACCAAGGCAACGAUGCGUAGCCGACCUGAGAGGGUGAUCGGCCACACUGGAACUGAGACACGGUCCAGACUCCUACGGGAGGCAGCAGUAGGGAAUCUUCCGCAAUGGGCGAAAGCCUGACGGAGCAACGCCGCGUGAGUGAUGAAGGUCUUCGGAUCGUAAAACUCUGUUAUUAGGGAAGAACAAAUGUGUAAGUAACUAUGCACGUCUUGACGGUACCUACACAGAAAGCCACGGCUAACUACGUG